AUUGAACGCUGGCGGCAGGCCUAACACAUGCAAGUCGAACGGUAACAGGAAGCUGCUUGCUGCUUUGCUGACGAGUGGCGGACGGGUGAGUAAUGUCUGGGAAACUCCUCGAUGGAGGGGGAUAACUACUGGAAACGGUAGCUAAUACCGCAUAACGUCUCAAGACCAAAGAGGGGGACCUUAGGGCCUCUUGCCAUCGGAUGUGCCCAGGUUGGAUUAGCUAUUAGGUGGGGUAACGGCUCACCUAGGCGACGAUCCCUACCUGGUCUGAGAGGAUGGCCGGCCACACUGGAACUGAAACAAGGUCCAGAAUCCUAAGGGAGGCAGCAGUAGGGAAUAUUACGCAAUGGGGGGAAGCCUGACGCAGCCAUGCCGCGUGUAUGAAGAAGGCCUUCGGGUUGUAAAGUACUUUCAGCGGGGAGGAAGGGAGUAAAGUUAAUACCUUUGCUGAUUGACGGUACCCGCAGAAGAAGCACCGGCUAACUCCGUG
rnacentral:rRNA from 1 species